GCCCUCGUAGUUUAUGAGAAUGCUAGUUUGUCUAAUUAGAGGAGGGGUUAAACCCCGGGGGUG
rnacentral:tRNA from 1 species